rnacentral:sRNA from 1 species
CGAAUCGGAAGGAAGGCUAAGUUCGCGACAUCGUGUCGCAACGCCUUCAUGACCUACAUCCUGUAGG